AUUGAACGCUGGCGGCAGGCCUAACACAUGCAAGUCGAGCGGAUGAAGGGAGCUUGCUCCUGGAUUCGGCGGCGGACGGGUGAGUAAUGCCUAGGAAUCUGCCUGGUAGUGGGGGAUAACGUCCGGAAACGGGCGCUAAUACCGCAUACGUCCUGAGGGAGAAAGUGGGGGAUCUUCGGACCUCACGCUCUCAGCUGAGCCUAGGUCGGAUUAGCUAGUUGGUGGGGUAAAGGCCUACCCAGGCGACGAUCCGUAACUGGUCUGAGAGGAUGAUCAGUCACACUGGAACUGAGACACGGUCCAGACUCCUACGGGAGGCAGCAGUGGGGAAUAUUGGACAAUGGGCGAAAGCCUGAUCCAGCCAUGCCGCGUGUGUGAAGAAGGUCUUCGGAUUGUAAAGCACUUUAAGUUGGGAGGAAGGGCAGUAAGUUAAUACCUUGCUGUAUUGACGUUACCAACAGAAGAAGCACCGGCUAACUUCGUG
rnacentral:rRNA from 1 species